AUUAAUGAAUUUUGAAAGGGGUUGUAGCUGGCCGUCUCUUUGGGGCGGCAUGUGCACACCCUGAUCACUAUCCAUCUCACACACCUGUGCACACACUGUAGGUUGGCUUGUGAUUGGAAGUUACAGUCUUCAUUGACUUUGCUCUGGUUGGAGGCCCUCCUAUGUAUUAUCACAAACUACUUCAGUUUAAAGAAUGUACUCUUGCGUCUAACGCAUUUAAAUACAACUUUCAGCAACGGAUCUCUUGGCUCUCGCAUCGAUGAAGAACGCAGCGAAAUGCGAUAAAGUAAUGUGAAUUGCAGAAUUCAGUGAAUCAUCGAAUCUUUGAACGCACCUUGCGCUCCUUGGUAAUUCCGAGGAGCAUGCCUGUUUGAGUGUCAUGGAAUUCUCAACUCUAUUUGCUUUUGUGAAUAGAGCUUGGAUUUGGAGGUUUAUUGCUGGUACUUGUGAUCGGCUCCUCUUGAAUGCAUUAGCUCGAACCUUUGCGGAUCAGCUAUCGGUGUGAUAAUUGUUUACCGCCGUUGCAGUGAAGCAUAUCAAUGGGCUCGGCUUCCAAUCGUCCUUUACUGGACAAUGACUUUGACCUUUGACCUCAAAUCAGGUCGAAUUACCCG
rnacentral:rRNA from 1 species